rnacentral:misc_RNA from 1 species
CGUAACAAGGUUUCCGUAGGUGAACCUGCGGAAGGAUCAUUACCGAGUGCGGGCCCUCGCGGCCCAACCUCCCACCCUUGUCUCUAUACACCUGUUGCUUUGGCGGGCCCACCGGGGCCACCUGGUCGCCGGGGGACGCACGUCUCCGGGCCCGCGCCCGCCGAAGCGCUCUGUGAACCCUGAUGAAGAUGGGCUGUCUGAGUACUGUGAAAAUUGUCAAAACUUUCAACAAUGGAUCUCUUGGUUCCGGCAUCGAUGAAGAACGCAGCGAAAUGCGAUAAGUAAUGUGAAUUGCAGAAUUCCGUGAAUCAUCGAAUCUUUGAACGCACAUUGCGCCCCCUGGCAUUCCGGGGGGCAUGCCUGUCCGAGCGUCAUUUCUGCCCUCAAGCACGGCUUGUGUGUUGGGUGUGGUCCCCCCGGGGACCUGCCCGAAAGGCAGCGGCGACGUCCGUCUGGUCCUCGAGCGUAUGGGGCUCUGUCACUCGCUCGGGAAGGACCUGCGGGGGUUGGUCACCACCAUGUUUUACCACGGUUGACCUCGGAUCAGGUAGGAGUUACCCGCUGAACCUAAGCAUAUC